GAAAUGCGAUACGUAAUGUGAAUUGCAGAUUUCAGUGAAUCAUCGAAUCUUUGAACGCACAUUGCGCCCGCUAGUAUUCUGGCGGGCAUGCCUGUUCGAGCGUCAUUUCAACCAUCAAGCCCCCCAGGCUUGUGUUGGGGACCUGCGGCUGCCCGCAGGCCCUGAAAACCAGUGGCGGGCUCGCCGUCACCCCGAGCGUAGUAGCAUACACCUCGCUCAGGGCGUGCUGCGGGUUCCGGCCGUUAAAACGCCUUUCUUUUACCCAAGGUUGACCUCGGAUCAGGUAGGAAGACCCGCUGAACUUAA
rnacentral:misc_RNA from 1 species